AACGAACGCUGGCGGCAUGCCUAACACAUGCAAGUCGAACGAAGGCUUCGGCCUUAGUGGCCCACGAGUGAGUAACGCGUGGGAAACUGCCUAUUGGUGGGGAAUAACGACGGGAAACUGUCGCUAAUACCGCAUAAGCCCUUCGGGGGAAAGAUUUAUCGCCGAUAGAUGUGCCCGCGUCCGAUUAGCUAGUUGGUGAGGUAAUGGCUCACCAAGGCGACGAUCGGUAGCUGGUCUGAGAGGAUGAUCAGCCACACUGGGACUGAGACACGGCCCAGACUCCCACGGGAGGCAGCAGUGGGGAAUAUUGGACAAUGGGCGAAAGCCUGAUCCAGCAAUGCCGCGUGAGUGAUGAAGGCCUUAGGGUUGUAAAGCUCUUUCGGGUGGGACGAUGAUGACGGUACCACCAGAAGAAGCCCCGGCUAACUUCGUGCCAGCCGCCGCUGUAA
rnacentral:rRNA from 1 species